UUAAAUCCAUUGUUUUUGAAGGCAGACUAGCGCCACCUGUUGAGAGAAAAUAAAAUAAAACAUGUAAUUUCAUGGUGUAACCACUAGAUCCCGUGCAUACCAUUCCGAUGAAGCUAUGUUUUAAAAAAAUUCAAAAUACAAAACUUUUCGGUCAAAAGUGACCGAAGACCACCAGGGGUAAUGUGGUCUUUCAUUCACUGCAAUACAAGUUUACAAGUAUGACGUCCUGCUUUUGAGAAACCUGGAAAUGUGAAGUCAAAAUACUGGCAAAGUGGGUAAAGUGGGACAGUUAAGCUUCUUAAUUUCUAUCUUUACAUGUAAAUUAUUCCAUUACUAAAAAUCAACAUUGAGCUCAUCAUAAGCAAGUAUGUGAUAAAAAAAAUAUAGGUUAUGUGGCUAUGACAUCACUUCCGGGGGUGUGGCACAUCAUAUUCAACAACCUUACAGUGAACCGUGAUGGUAAAGUAAAAUGAAAUAGCAUUCUGAGGUGAAUGAUGUUAAGAUUAUAAAAAUUAAAACACUCAUGGAUCAUUUGUAAUUGUUAUAUAUUUUGUUAUAGGAUGUAAUGGUAAAUCAGAACUUUUAAAAAUCACAUUCAUAUGAAUCUUUUUGUCUCUAACCUACAACUGGGUUAUAUAGGUCACAUGGUAUACAUUGGCUGCCAGUGUAUAAAGAGCAAACUAGCACAGGCAGGUUUGAUGCAUGUAGUCAAUUGGAAAUUGCUUUAUCCACUGGAAGCCUCAAUGGUGCAAAGUGAGGUUAUCCACCACUAGAUGGGUGACAGGUGAAUGAUGCACAAUAAUGUUUCCCCUGUAUUCAGCAGUUGGGGUUGGUGUCCUGAGGAACACAUCUGGAAUACAACAGUCAGUUUUUUAUUUUAUUGUUCCUGUUGAAAUAAAACCUCCCCUCCCAUUUGUUCUUGUUUUAAUAAAACUGUUAAACUCUGUAGUGAAAUUGUAGUGUUGUUUUGUUCAGUCUUGCCAAAUAGAUUUCGGCCCAACAAUGUAUGUAAUUGUAUACCAUAAAAAAUGAAAAAUCUUUCAAAUAAACCAUGAAAAAUCUUUAAAAGUUAUAUAAUUUCUAUAUUAUAAUUUAUAAUAUAGAUAUAACAUACCUGAUUCAAGUCAUCGGUUGAGUAGUAAAUUACUUAAAGACCUGAAACA